GUGGGGCUUUGGGAUUAAGUUCCUCCCAGAGAUACUGGGCAUGGUGAGGAAAGAUUUUCUUGAGUGAAGGUAUCGGCACUGGAUAGCGUGGCCUGUGCAAAGUUCCUCACCGGCUAAGUAGAUACUGUAUGGUCACCAGCGAUGUGUUACCAGAUUGAAAACAUGUGUUUAAAAAGCCUUCAAUGUAACUUUAAUGCUGUUUUAUGUGUGGACCAGAAAAGGUGCUGCCUGGCCUGCUGAGUUCCUCCACUAUUUUGUGGGUGUUGCUUGGAUUUCCAGCAUUUGCAAAUUUUCUCUUGUUUAUGCCGCCUGACCUGCUGAGUUCCUCCAGCAUUGUUCUGGCCUAUAGAAGUGUGGUAAACAAUGUAUACCUGUCUGGACACGCCCCUCUGCUGACUGCUCCUGUGGCUCCUCCCACAGACUCCUAUAUAAAGGCGAUUAGGGCACAGCUCCUCCCUCAGUCUUCGACAUGUCGUACUUCCUUUUCGCUGUUAAUGAAAGCCUAUCGUACACUUCCAGUCUCCUAGAGUUAUUGAUGGUGCAUCAAGAAGCCGGGUUCAUUUUGUAUGAAAUCACUUUCUAUAUGAAAAACAGCAACCAAGGCUGAGUGAAGAGAUCUUAUAAGUUAAAUAAUGGGAGAAAAAAGUCAAAACAUGACAAAGUCACUGGAGAACAGGAUAGAGGACCCAAGGGCAAGAUUGCUGCAUCAGAGGGAAAUGAGAGAUUACUGCAUUAUCUGCUUCACAGAGACAUGGCUCACUCCAGACAAGCCAGAUAUGUCAGUAAGACCCAAAGGCUUCUCAAUCCACCAGAAGGACCAGAUUGCUGAUUCAAGGAGGGCAAAAGGAUGGCACAGAGGGAAACCCAUCCACUGAAGAGGAGAAUAAACAGAGCCCACACAGUACCAGAAGUCAAGAUCACUGAUGGAGUGAGAAGGAAGCACUAACUACUGAAGCAUCAGAACAAAAUGCUAAUUCCUCAUUUAAAACUCCCUACCAAAGUAACUCUUGCUUUAAUCCCUAUCAUACUAAAAAUAUACUGCUCCUCAUGAUGCAGGAUGUUAGAGAGGAUCUAAUUGGAUUAUUGAACCGAACCCAGGCUAAUAAUCCAAAGAACAUGAGUUCAACUCACACCACAAGGGCUUGAGCACUUAAGUUCAUCUUUUCUUGAAACAGAAGCUCAUUAAUAAAAUGCUUUACCAGUAAAUGUGACCAGGAAACUGUCAGGUUGUUGUAAAAGUCUAAAGUGGUUCAUUAAUGAGUGACAGGUUAAGAAACUACCAUAUUUAACUGGUCAGAGCUCGUAUGUAGCUCUCUUGACUGGACCUAAAUGUGAUUCACCUAACUGGAUGUAUCGAAAGAGAGAGUCAGAGCUGUACAGUAUGGAAAGAAGCCCUUGCUCUAACUCACCCAGGUUGACCAUGGUGCUCUACAGCCCAAAGCCCAUCCCCUCCUGUCUAUGCUUUUUGCACGCUGUUAAUGUACUUGCCUCAACCACUUCCUCUGGCAGCUCGUUUCAUAUACUGAAGUUAUAUCUCAGGUCUCGAUAAAUCUUUCACCUCUCUACUUUUGCCCUCCAGUUUAUCGUUCUUUUCCCUGGGGGAAACGAAACUUCAUACGUUCACCCUUUCUAUACCCUUCAUGAGUUUAUACAUCUCUGUAAGAUCGCCCCGUGAUCUCCUACGUUUCAAUUAAUACAGUCUUAGCCUGCUUAAUCUUUCCCUAAAACUCAAGCCCUUGAUUUCCAGUUUACUAAUACUUUUCCUAUUAUGUGGUGACCAAAACUGUACAUAGUAUUCCAUGUGCAGUCUCAUCAAUAUCUUAUACAACUUUAAUAUAAUAUCCCAAUUCCCACUUGAUUAAUUUAACAGACUAUAUGUGAUUCAAUUAUCUGAGCCUAUAGAGGACUCCCUUAAGUGAUUCACUUAACAAGGCCUAUAUGUGACUUCCUUAUAUACCCCUCUAAAAUUAAGAAACUAUUCAUUGCAGGGGUCAGCUCUGUCCUGACGAUGGCUAAUAAAGAAAGGUGGUUUAAUAUAUAGGCACAGAUUGUCACGGUAAAACAACAGUCCAUGAGGAAAAUGAACCCCUUGUUAAUGGAACAGGAGAGUGUUUUAUUGUAUAAGGAUGAAACCACCUCGCAAGGAGUGACUGGUUAACAACCUGCAUUAAUGCCUAAAAGGAGGAAUUUGCCUGAGGCACUAUGUAGCACACCAAUGCAAAGACAUCACCCAGUGUUUUACAGUUCUAGGCAGAAUACACAACCGUGCUUUGAGGGAGAAGUGUACUUAGACCGACUUUUGCUACUUGAAAUAAUCAUCACUUUUUCACUUUACGACACAAUCUAUGUGGAUUGAUAAUGAUAUCUCCUCCUCGCUGAUGAUUAACACUGGUGCACCUUGGAGGGUGAUUAAAUCACUGCUCUACUCUCUCUACACCCGUGACUGUGUGGCUAGGCAUAGUUCUAAUGCCAUCUAUAAAUUUGCUGAUGAUAUCACCAUUGUUGGUAGAAUCACAGAUGGAUACGAGAGGAUAUACAGGAGUGAGAUAUGCCAACUAGUGGAAUGGUGAAACAGCAACAAACUUACACUCAACAUCAGUAAGACAGUAGAACUGUGGACUUCAGGAAAGGUAAGAUGAGGGAAAUAUAAACUAAUCCUCGUUGAGGGAUCAGAAGUGGAGAGAGUGAGCAGUUUCAAGUUCCUGCAUGUCAAGAUCUCUGAGGAUCUAACCUUGUCCCAAUAUAUCAAUGCAGCUAUUAAGAAGGCAAGACAGUGACUAUACUUCAUUAGGAGUUUGAAGAGAUUUGGCAUGUCAACAAAUUCACUCAAAAACUUCUGUAGAACAACCUUGGAGAGCAUUUUGACAGGCUGCAUCACUGUCUGGUAUGGAGGGCUACAGCACAGGACUGAAAAAAGCUGCAGAGGGUUGUAAAUUUAGUUUGCUCCAUCUUGGGUACCAGCCUACAAAGUACACAGGACACCUUCAAGGAGUGGUGUCUCAGAAAGGCAGCAUCCAUUUUUAAGGACUUCUAGCACAAAGGGCAUGGCCUUUUCUCACUGUUACCAUCAGGUAGGAGGUACAGAAGCCUGAAGGCACACACUCAGCGAUUCAGGAACUGCUUCUUCCCCUCUGCCAUCCAAUUCCUAAAUGAACAUUGAACCCACAAGCCCUGCAUCACUUUUUUAUUAUUUCUGUUUUGCACUAUUUUAAUGUAACUAUUUAAUAUACAUAUAUACAGUAUACUGACUGUAAUUGAUUUUUUUCAUAGUAUCAUGUAUUGCAUUCUACUGCUGCCACUAAGUUAACAAAUUUCACAACAUAUACUGCUAAUAUUAAACCUGAUUCUGAUGAGCUCAUAAAGUGAGAUCACUGGUAAUGGGG